UACGGAGGGGGCUAGCGUUGUUCGGAAUUACUGGGCGUAAAGCGCACGUAGGCGGCUUUGUAAGUUAGAGGUGAAAGCCCGGGGCUCAACUCCGGAAUUGCCUUUAAGACUGCAUCGCUAGAAUUGUGGAGAGGUAAGUGGAAUUCCAAGUGUAGAGGUGAAAUUCGUAGAUAUUCGGAAGAACACCAGUGGCGAAGGCGACUUACUGGACACAUAUUGACGCUGAGGCGCGAAAGCGUGGGGAGCAAACAGG
rnacentral:rRNA from 1 species